rnacentral:rRNA from 1 species
UGGGGAAUAUUGGGCAAUGGGCGCAAGCCUGACCCAGCAACGCCGCGUGAAGGAAGAAGGUCUUCGGAUUGUAAACUUUUGUUGUCAGGGAAGAAACAAGACAGUACCUGACGAGAAAGCCCCGGCUAACUACGUGCCAGCAGCCGCGGUAAUACGUAGGGGGCGAGCGUUGUCCGGAAUUACUGGGCGUAAAGGGCGCGUAGGCGGCAUGUCAAGUUAGAUGUGAAAACCCCGGGCUUAACCUGGGAGUUGCAUUUAAAACUGGCAAGCUUGAGUGCAGGAGAGGGAAGCGGAAUUCCUAGUGUAGCGGUGAAAUGCGUAGAUAUUAGGAGGAACAUCGGUGGCGAAGGCGGCUUUCUGGACUGUAACUGACGCUGAGGCGCGAAAGCGUGGGGAGCAA